UGGGGAAUAUUGGACAAUGGGGGCAACCCUGAUCCAGCCAUGCCGCGUGAGUGAUGAAGGCCUUCGGGUUGUAAAGCUCUUUUGGCGGGGACGAUGAUGACGGUACCCGCAGAAUAAGCCCCGGCUAACUUCGUGCCAGCAGCCGCGGUAAGACGAAGGGGGCUAGCGUUGUUCGGAAUUACUGGGCGUAAAGCGAGUGUAGGCGGUUGCCGUAGUCAGGUGUGAAAGCCUUGAGCUCAACUCAAGAAAUGCACUUGAUACUGGGUGACUAGAGGACCGGAGAGGAUAGUGGAAUUCCCAGUGUAGUGGUGAAAUACGUAGAGAUUGGGAAGAACACCAGUGGCGAAGGCGGCUAUCUGGACGGUUACUGACGCUAAGACUCGAAAGCGUGGGGAGCAAACAGGAUUAGAUACCCUGGUAGUCCACGCCGUAAACGAUGGGUGCUAGACGUUGGCGAGCUUGCUCGUCAGUGUCGCAGCUAACGCGUUAAGCACCCCGCCUGGGGAGUAACGGCCGCAAGGUUGAAACUCAAAAUGAAUUGACGGGGGUCAUAGCUGUUUCCU
rnacentral:rRNA from 1 species